UGCCCAGCAACUCCUAUCCCUAUCUCCUCGCGGUACCGGUCGGAAACUAUGAGCAACCAAGAUCGGGUAAUCAACCCCGGUGGGAAUUUUGGUCGUAGGCUGACAGGGAAGG
rnacentral:ribozyme from 1 species